rnacentral:lncRNA from 1 species
AAACUAAAAAAAAAGGGAAAUUUUGUAAAGAGUAGCAAAGAGAAAGGGUUGAAGAAAAGAAGUGGAGAAUGUGGAAACAAAAUUGGGAAAAAUUAAGGAACAAAAUAUUUCUACUAUUUUUUUAACAAAGAAAUAGUACAUACAAUAAAAAUAAAAAUAAAAUAAAAUCAAAACAAAACAAAUCCAAAAUCACCCACAACGCCACUAUUUGAUCCUUAUCAAAACAAAGUUCUUAGAGUUCAAAGCUGACCCAAAUUCCACUAAAUGGGUGACUCAAAUAGAGGCUAGCAAAAAGAAU